GAUGAAGAACGCAGCGAAAUGCGAUACUUGGUGUGAAUUGCAGAAUCCCGUGAACCAUCGAGUCUUUGAACGCAAGUUGCGCCCGAAGCCAUCAGGUUGAGGGCACGUCUGCCUGGGCGUCACAUAUCGUUGCCCAAUGCCUAUUGCAGUGCAAUAGGAAUUUCUAGGGCGAAUGAUGGCUUCCCGUGAGCGUUGUUGCCUCGCGGUUGGUUGAAAAUCGAGUCCUUGGUAGGGUGUGCCAUGGUAGAUGGUGGUCGAGUUAGAACGAUACCGAUCAUGUGCAUGCUCCCCAAAAUAUGGCCUCUAUGACCCACACGCGUCUUUUGACGCUCAUGACGAGACCUCAGGUCAGGCGGGGCUACCCGCUGAAUUUAAGCAUAUCAAUAAGCGGAAGGA
rnacentral:misc_RNA from 1 species